UACAGAGGUCCCGAGCGUUGUUCGGAUUCACUGGGCGUAAAGGGUGCGUAGGUGGUGAGGUAAGUCGGAUGUGAAAUCUCCAAGCUCAACUUGGAAACUGCAUUGGAAACUACCUUGCUAGAGGAUUUGAGGGGGGAUUGGAAUACUUGGUGUAGCAGUGAAAUGCGUAGAUAUCAAGUGGAACACCAGUGGCGAAGGCGAAUCCCUGGAAAAUACCUGACACUGAGGCACGAAAGCUAGGGUAGCAAACGGG
rnacentral:rRNA from 1 species